rnacentral:rRNA from 1 species
GAUGAACGCUGGCGGCGUGCUUAACACAUGCAAGUCGAACGAAGCACUUUAUUUGAUUUCCUUCGGGACUGAUUAUUUUGUGACUGAGUGGCGGACGGGUGAGUAACGCGUGGGUAACCUGCCUUGUACAGGGGGAUAACAGUUGGAAACGGCUGCUAAUUCCGCAUAAGCGCACAGCAUCGCAUGAUGCAGUGUGAAAAACUCCGGUGGUAUAAGAUGGACCCGCGUUGGAUUAGCUAGUUGGUGAGGUAACGGCCCCCCAAGGCGACGAUCCAUAGCCGACCUGAGAGGGUGACCGGCCCCCUUGGGACUGAGACCCGGCCCCAACUCCUUCGGGAGGCAGCCGUGGGGAAUAUUGCCCAAUGGGCGAAAGCCUGAGGCAGCGACGCCGCGUGAGCGAAGAAGUAUUUCGGUAUGUAAAGCUCUAUCAGCCGGGAAGAUAAUGACCGUUAUGGGGGAAGAAGCCCCGGCUAAAUACGUG